UGCGCAACUGAAGUGCUCGACGAAAUGUCUUAACUACUUGCUGUUGGUGGUCUUCGCGCAUUCCGCCUAUUGUGGUGAAGAGUCACCGACCAAUGCACUGCUGUUGAUGUCCGUGAUGCCGCCACUUCACCCUCAUGUCAAAUCCCCACUAUAGCUGACGCAGCCCAACCCGCAGGACCUUGGAUGCAGCGGCCUUCAUGGACAAAGCCACUGGCUAUGGUUUGCUAACAAUAAAGCAGGAUAAUAUUUUGGUGUACCAAAGUUCUUUAUGACACAAAAUAUAACUAAAACAUAUGUUUGUAUUAGCUUCAUCUAAAAUAAUCUAAACCUCGGUUAAUCAAGUUAGGAUUUCUUACAAAUUGUUUUAUCAAAAACAGGAAGGUUACAAGAUCAAAAGAGCAGGAAAUGAUCAAGACAAGACAAUAGUAACAAAGGGACCUACCAAAAAUUAUCAUUGGGUGCCUCGAUAGUGGAACCACUUAAUAAAGAUUUCUGGGUUACAUUAGGUUCAAUAUCAAGUGAUCUAGCUUCGAAGCAGAAGGGACUCAGGUGACAAGCAAUUGGCAACACAAGCAUUUGAUCGUGCUCGAAGCAUUGAUCCCUCAUUUGCCUUGCCAUGGGCUGGAAAUAUCUCUACAGUUGCCAGUGGACCUGUGAGUUACAAAUGGCUGGGAGUCCCGGUGGGUGCAAUCUGAUUGUAAAAGGAGUGAAGGGAAAGCUGGAAGGUUAAAGCACACGGCCGGAACAUACUCUGGAGAUUCUGAUGCCAAAGAUUUAUUUUUCAUCCCUCGCACAUUUGUGUUUCAAUUGACUAUGAAUACAAACAACAAUGGAUGCUAGGCAUUUUCCUAUCUCAGCGAAGUUCCCACAAUUCAGUAACAAGAACAGGACACUGGUGGUCCAGUACUCCAUCAAGUUUGAGCAGGAUAUCGAGUGCAGUGGUGGAUAUAUUAAGCUUAUGUCCGGUUAUGUCAACCAGAAAAAAUUAGUGGGGA